rnacentral:rRNA from 1 species
CCUACGGGGGGCAGCAGUGAGGAAUAUUGGUCAAUGGGCGCGAGCCUGAACCAGCCAAGUCGCGUGAGGGAAGACGGUCCUAUGGAUUGUAAACCUCUUUUGUCAGGGAGCAAAGGACGCCACGCGUGGCGUUCCGAGAGUACCCGAUGAAAAAGCAUCGGCUAACUCCGUGCCAGCAGCCGCGGUAAUACGGAGGAUGCGAGCGUUAUCCGGAUUUAUUGGGUUUAAAGGGUGCGCAGGGGGUAGAUCAAGUCAGUGUUAAAAUUGAGGGGCUCAACCUCUUAGAGCCGUUGAAACUGGUUGUCUUGAGUGAGUGAGAGGUAUGCGGAAUGCGUGGUGUAGCGGUGAAAUGCAUAGAUAUCACGAAGAACUCCGAUUGCGAAGGCAGCAUACCGGCGCUCAACUGACGCUGAUGCACGAAAGUGUGGGUAUCGAACAGGAUUAGAUACCCCUGUAGUC